GAUGAGCGCUGACAGAAUGCUUAACACAUGCAAGUCGACUGGAAUUCUUCUUCGGAAGUUAGCACGGUGGCGGACGUGUGAGUAACGCGUAAAGAAUUUGCCCUUCAGACUGGGACAACUAACCGAAAGGUUAGCUAAUACCGGAUAUUAUGAGACCUUGGCAUCAAGGACUUAUGAAAGCUAUAUGCGCUGGAGGAGAACUUUGCGUCCCAUUAGGUAGUUGGUAGGGUAAUGGCCUACCAAGCCGACGAUGGGUAGCCGGCCUGAGAGGGUGAACAGCCACAAGGGGACUGAGACACGGCCCUU
rnacentral:rRNA from 1 species